rnacentral:rRNA from 1 species
UUAGAGUUUGAUCAUGGCUCAGAACGUACGCUGGCGGCACGCCUAACACAUGCAAGUCGAACGAAGUAGCAAUACUUAGUGGCAGACGGGUGAGUAACAUGUGGGUAUCUGCCCUUUGGCCUGGAAUAACACGAGGAAACUUGUGCUAAUACUGGAUAAGUCUUUACGGAGAAAGCUUUAUGCACCAUUGGAUGAGCCCGCACUUGAUUAGUUUGUUGGUGGGGUAAUGGCCUACCAAGACUGUGAUCAAUAGCUGAUUUGAGAGGAUGAUCAGCCACAUUGGGACUGAGACACGGCCCAAACUCCUACGGGAGGCAGCAGUGGGGAAUCUUGCACAAUGGAGGAAACUCUGAUGCAGCGAUGCCGCGUGAGUGAAGAAGGCCCUUGGGUUGUAAAGCUCUUUCGUCGGGGAAGAAAAUGACUGUACCCGAAUAAGAAGGUCCGGCUAACUUCGUGCCAGCAGCCGCGGUAAUACGAAGGGACCUAGCGUAGUUCGGAAUUACUGGGCUUAAAGAGUUCGUAGGUGGUUGAAAAAGUUGGUGGUGAAAUCCCAGAGCUUAACUCUGGAACUGCCAUCAAAACUUUUCAGCUAGAGUUUGAUAGAGGAAAGCAGAAUUUCUAGUGUAGAGGUGAAAUUCGUAGAUAUUAGAAAGAAUACCAAUUGCGAAGGCAGCUUUCUGGAUCAUUACUGACACUGAGGAACGAAAGCAUGGGUAGCGAAGAGGAUUAGAUACCCUCGUAGUCCAUGCUGUAAACGAUGUGUGUUAGACGUUGGAAAUUUAUUUUCAGUGUCGCAGCGAAAGCGAUAAACACACCGCCUGGGGAGUACGACCGCAAGGUUAAAACUCAAAUGAAUUGACGGGGACCCGCACAAGUAGUGGAGCAUGUGGUUUAAUUCGAAGAUACGCGCAGAACCUUACCAACACUUGACAUGUUCGUCGCGACUUUAAGAGAUUAAAGUUUUCGGUUCGGCCGGACGAAACACAGGUGCUGCAUGGCUGUCGUCAGCUCGUGUCGUGAGAUGUUGGGUUAAGUCCCGCAACGAGCGCAACCCUCACUUUUAGUUGCCAUCAUUUAGUUGGGCACUCUGAAAGAACUGCCAGUGAUAAGCUGGAGGAAGGUGGGGAUGACGUCAAGUCCUCAUGGCCCUUACGUGUUGGGCUACACACGUGCUACAAUGGUAUUUACAACAGGAAGCAAAACAGCGAUGUUAAGCAAAUCCUCAAAAGAUACCUCAGUUCGGAUUGCACUCUGCAACUCGAGUGCAUGAAGCUGGAAUUACUAGUAAUCGUGGAUCAGCGUGCCAGGGUGAAUGCGUUCCGCGGGUCUUGUACACACCGCC